rnacentral:rRNA from 1 species
UGAUGCAGCGACGCCGCGUGAGGGAUGACGGCCUUCGGGUUGUAAACCUCUUUCAGCAGGGAAGAAGCGAAAGUGACGGUACCUGCAGAAGAAGCGCCGGCUAACUACGUGCCAGCAGCCGCGGUAAUACGUAGGGCGCAAGCGUUGUCCGGAAUUAUUGGGCGUAAAGAGCUCGUAGGCGGUCUGUCACGUCGGAUGUGAAAGCCCGGGGCUUAACCCCGGGUCUGCAUUCGAUACGGGCAGACUAGAGUGUGGUAGGGGAGAUCGGAAUUCCUGGUGUAGCGGUGAAAUGCGCAGAUAUCAGGAGGAACACCGGUGGCGAAGGCGGAUCUCUGGGCCAUUACUGACGCUGAGGAGCGAAAGCGUGGGGAGCGAACAGGAUUAGAUACCCUGGUAGUCCACGCCGUAAACGGUGGGAACUAGGUGUUGGCGACAUUCCACGUCGUCGGUGCCGCAGCUAACGCAUUAAGUUCCCCGCCUGGGGAGUACGGCCGCAAGGCUAAAACUCAAAGGAAUUGACGGGGGCCCGCACAAGCAGCGGAGCAUGUGGCUUAAUUCGACGCAACGCGAAGAACCUUACCAAGGCUUGACAUACACCGGAAACGUCUGGAGACAGGCGCCCCCUUGUGGUCGGUGUACAGGUGGUGCAUGGCUGUCGUCAGCUCGUGUCGUGAGAUGUUGGGUUAAGUCCCGCAACGAGCGCAACCCUUGUUCUGUGUUGCCAGCAUGCCCUUCGGGGUGAUGGGGACUCACAGGAGACUGCCGGGGUCAACUCGGAGGAAGGUGGGGACGACGUCAAGUCAUCAUGCCCCUUAUGUCUUGGGCUGCACACGUGCUACAAUGGCCGGUACAAAGAGCUGCGAAACCGUGAGGUGGAGCGAAUCUCAAAAAGCCGGUCUCAGUUCGGAUUGGGGUCUGCAACUCGACCCCAUGAAGUCGGAGUUGCUAGUAAUCGCAGAUCAGCAUUGCUGCGGUGAAUACGUUCCCGGGCCUUGUACACACCGCCCGUCACGUCACGAAAGUCGGUAACACCCGAAGCCGGUGGCCCAACCCCUUGUGGGAGGGAGCUGUCGAAGGUGGGACUGGCGAU